rnacentral:rRNA from 1 species
UGGGGAAUAUUGCACAAUGGGGGAAACCCUGAUGCAGCGACGCCGCGUGAGUGAAGAAGUAUUUCGGUACGUAAAGCUCUAUCAGCAGGGAAGAAAAAAAGUCCUUUGGACUUUGGACGGUACCUGACCAAGAAGCCCCGGCUAACUACGUGCCAGCAGCCGCGGUAAUACGUAGGGGGCAAGCGUUAUCCGGAUUUACUGGGUGUAAAGGGAGCGUAGACGGCAGCGCAAGUCUGGAGUGAAAUGCCGGGGCCCAACCCCGGAACUGCUUUGGAAACUGUGCAGCUCGAGUGCAGGAGAGGUAAGCGGAAUUCCUAGUGUAGCGGUGAAAUGCGUAGAUAUUAGGGGGAACACCAGUGGCGAAGGCGGCUUACUGGACUGUAACUGACGUUGAGGCUCGAAAGCGUGGGGAGCAAACAGG